GUAAUUGCUGGUUUUAUCUGUUAAAAACCCAUUUCUGAAGUUUGAUAUCAUGCUGUAUAUGAUAUAAUGUAUUACUGGUGCAAUUACUGUAAACUGAUGCACUGUACUGAAUUGAUGUGUAGUUGGGGAGAUAAGUUAAUUGAAUAAAUAUUUUAUCUAGUAAUUUUACUGGAUUGUUUAUCUCAAUACUUUCUCCCUGCGUCUGAUCCGAUCCCUCGCCUCGCCA